rnacentral:lncRNA from 1 species
GAUUUUCAGCCCAAGUGCUUUGGGACUUUACAUGGUGGAAUCGUUGAAUAAGUAUGAUAUCGCGUAUUGCCACGUAGUUGAGCCUAGGAUGAAAACAGCUUGCGAAAAAAUUGAAUGUUCUGAAUGCCUUAUACCUUUGAGGAAGGCAUAUAAAGGUAUUUUUAUAGUAGCUGGUGGUUAUGAUAGAGAAGAUGGAAACAGAGUUGUGGUUGAAGAUCGAGCUGAUCUUGUUGCGUUUAUUCAUAUCUAAUCCAGAUUUACCAAAGCGAUUUGAGCUAAAUGCUCCUCUUAACAAGUAUAAUAGAGUGACAUUUUAUACGCUAGAUCCUGUUGUUGGCCAUACUGAUUAUCCAACUCUAGAAACCAUGACAUGAUUGGAUUCCUUGGUAACUAAUUAUCAGAAACAACAUUGUAAUGAAUCUAUCAAGUUUUAUUGAAGAAAUAUAAUUUCAGUUUCUUUUCGUUAAGCCUCAAGUAUGGUUGUCACCCAUCUUUGAAAAUACUUACUAUCAUGAAAUUUCAAAUUUGAGGACAUUGUAGAGGGGUUCAAUUGUGAAUAUAAAAUUUCAUGACAAUGAUUAUUUUUUCGAUUGUAUAGAUUGAAAUUGUUGAAGCCAAUUUUGGUGAAGAUUUGUGUUACACACUUGAACACAAAUCAAUUGAAAUGAAAUAUGAUGAACCCUUGUCUACAUACAACCUCAAAGAUGGCUCAAUUAUUAAAGUAACAUGGUAUGUUGAUUCACCUUAGUUAAAUUUGGAUUAUAAAGGCUUCUACAAAUACUGUAUAGUGAUACUACAUUUAAGUUAAGUAUUUUUUAAAAGUUUAUGAAGUAAGUCCAAGAAUAUGAUCAUGUAUGGAUGAACAUCUUUAUUAUUAUCCUUAGUAACUAGCGAUUGGAAACAUCAUUGUAAUGAACCUAUCAAGUUCUAUUGAUUUCUUUUUGUUAAGCCUCAAGUAAAAAUACAGUUAUCACAUGUCUUUAAAAAUAUUUGCUAUCGUGAAAUUUCAAAUUCUACAUGUAAAGUUUCAAGACAUUAAUGUCAAGGGGGGUUCACUUGUGAAAUUUAAAUGUUAAUUUACUUUCUCUAUCUUAUAAUUCACUUUCUUAACCAAUUAAAUGUGAAUUUUGAUGGGGAAAUUUCAAAUUAUGGUUGGAAUCAAGGAAGAUAAAUGCUCACUCACCCUUAACGUAACUGUUGUAAAUUUUGAUUUUGAUGAUUGAUCGAUCAGAUGAACGGAUUUGAUAUCUCCAAUGAUUUCACGCAAAGUCAAAUAUUACAGUUGUAAAGCAUAUCAUUUUGCACAGUGGGGUAGGGUGGUAGGGCAGUCUAGCAAUAGGACCACGAUGUCUUUUUUCCUUCUUGACCAAUGAAAAGAGUUUAAGGGUUUAAAGAGUAUUUAAUACCAUUUGCAUAUGACUUCCAAUUUUCAUAAUCAUUAAUUCAUUAGGUAGUCAUUUGGAAAUAGCGCGUGUGGCACAUUUUUAUUGAUUGUUAGCGUUUAGAGAGAUUGUGACUAUUAAACUAACAAAUCAAAAGGGAUAAUUAAGCAAAAUUUAAAUUUGCACCACAAAAAAUUUAAAUUUUAAAUUUGGAUAAAAUUUGCCAAAUUCAAGGGACUUCGAUUUAUUUCACCAAAAUUUUUGGGUAAAGGGUCUGAAAAAUACUUCAAUUUUGGUCGAAAUUGUUGUUACGAUACCAAAUUUUAUGGAGGACCUUUUACCCCCUACACUAUUUAAUAGUGUAUUUUAAAGGUAUAUAUGUGUCCACGUGGACACAUUACUAUUUAAAAUGGUGCAAUAUUUAUGAUGUCCACAUAGACACAUAUAUACCUUUAAAAUACAGUAUUAAAUAGUACAUGGGGGGUAAAGGUCAUUUUUAAAGUUUGGUAUCGAACAACAAUUUUGGCCAAAGUUAAAAUAUUUUUCAGAUCAUUUUCCCAAAAAAAUUAUAUAGUUAUUCACCGAUAACGAUAGGCGAUAAGUAUUACUACUAUUCAUAGCAAAACAACAAAAGAGAAGACUUCAAAAAUAUAAACUUUGCUUCUUAUAUUUGAGUUCCUCUCUUGUCAUCUAGUGAGAAAUAAUACUCUCCGUCUCAUAUUAGAUUGGGUAUCUUAUUAAAAAUAUUUGUCUCAUAUUAUCUGAUCAUUUAUUAAAUUAGGAUAUAAUUAAUUAUUAUUUUCUCAUUUUCCUGCUAUAAUUAAUUUGACCUUUGGAGGUCUAAACAAAUUUUAAAGAUCUAAAAUUUCUUUUUCCAAGAGGCUAAUCAAUAUAAACGAAGAGCAAAAUAGUAAAUUGAUCAAUUUAUUAAUAAUUUCUUAAUUAUCGUGUAAAAUAGAAAAUAUCAAUCUAAUACCGGACAAAAGGAGCAGUGAAAAACAAACUAUUAUAAUUAUUAUUGUGACAUCGAAUCCAAUGAAGCUAUUUCCUCUAAUUUAUUUCUAGCAUUUUACGUCCACAUUAUUGUAGAACUCAUUCAUUACCACAAAAUACAUUAUCAUCUUUCCUAUCAAAUAAAUAAAGACACAUAAUGGAAAAUUUCAGAAAAUAUUUAUAUUUAGAAAAAAUAAUUAGCUCCUAAUUACAAAAAUAAGGAAAGUAGCUUUUUAAAUAAAUUUAAGAGAAAUAAGUUUUAUAAUUAACAGUUCAAAUUUAUUGUCUCCUCUCCACCCACCUAUAUAUCCUCCCUAAUCCCAGCUAGCACAGGUACCACACCUUGUAUGUAUUAUUCAUUGGCACGAAUACCACGCCUGAUAUGACAUAUCAUCAAUUGGCUCGAGUACCACACUUGAUACAAGUUGUCAUUUGGUUGGAUUGUGUCCAUUAUUCACCAAUUUCACCUUUGUUAUAAAUAUAUCCAUAAUCAUUACCAACUCAUUAACAAGAAAGCUUACACCACUAGCAAGAAUUAAUGGAAAAUAAAGUUGUUGAAGAGAAACAAUACAUGAAUAUCCCUCUAAUGACCCCUCUAACCCGAGUGCUUUGGGACUUUACAUGAUGGAAUCGUUGAAUAAGUAUGAUAUCGCGUAUUGCCACGUAGUUGAGCCUAGGAUGAAAACAGCUUGCGAAAAAAUUGAAUGUUCUGAAAGCCUUGUAUAAUAGAGAGACAUUUUAUACGUAUCUAAUCCAGAUUUACCAAAGCGAUUUGAGCUAAAUGCUCCUCUUAACAAGUAUAAUAGAGAGACAUUUUAUACGUCAGAUCCUGUUAUUGGCUAUACUGAUUAUCCAAUUCUAGAAACCACGACAUGAUUGGAUAUCCUUGGUAACUAGUGAUCAGAAACAACAUUGUAAUGUAUCUAUCAAGUUCUAUUGAAGAAAUAUAAUUUCAGUUUCUUUUUGUUAAGCCUUUAGUAUGGUUGUCACCCGCUUUAAAAAUACUAAUUACUAUCAUGAAAUUUCAAAUUUGAGGACAUUGUUGAGGGGUUAUGACUAUCUUUUAUAUGGUAUAGAUUGAAAAAUACUAAUGUGCUUCGUGAAAAUUGGGCCCUCCCUCUAACAGUUAGCCCAUGACCUUCUAUUUUAGUUCAAUGAAAAUAUUGUUAGAUGUUAGGUGGUGUUAUGUAAUAUAUUUGUGGUAAUAAAAAGUUAUAUCAGAAAAAUAUCACAAAUCUUUUAUAAAGAAAUGAAGAUUUGAAUGAUGAGAAUGUUUGGUGAGUAAGAGGAGAAUGGUAGAGUAGCAGACACAUUAUCCAAUGAGUUUUGAAAUGUGCGUCAUUACUUUUAAAGAUUCUUUUAUUUUAGCCGACAUGGUGGGUUAUUAUUUUUAAGUGAAGAGUUGAAUAAUGUGAAUGUUUGGUGGUUAAGAGGAGAAGGGUAGAGCAGCAGACACAUCAUCCAUCGAGUUUUGAACAGUCCGUUAUUGACUUUCAAAGAUUUUUUUUUAGGUGACAUGAUGGGUUAUUAUUUUUAAGAAUUUUCCUCCUCACCUUUUUAUAGUAUUUUUUGUGAUCUACAUACAAGCUAAUUAGACGAAUAUUCUUAUCAUAUUUACUAAAUCCCUAUAUACUUUAAAAUAAUUGCAUAUCCCUCUCCUCCUCUUUCUCUCGCUUACUCUCUCCAUCCUUUUUUGUUCAAUUAUAGUGUGUAUUUAUGCAUAGUUUACUUUGAUACUAGAUUCAUGUAUCUUUACACAAAUACAUUGUAUAUCAAUACAUAUGUUUGAUAUCAUAUAUACAUGUAUUUGAAUCAUAUACAUGUAUUUAUGUACAAAUACAUUUAUUAUUAGAUAUCAAAUUUAUUGAUAAAAUUGAUACCAGAUACAUGCGAGGAUGAAACUAAUAUCAAAUAUGCUGAAUGAAUAUAAUGUAUGUUUGGAUAAAAUGCACUUGAAGAUACAUAUAUUUGAAUCAAUAUUUUUUGAUAGAAAAUAUAAUAAAAAAAACUAGUAUUUCAACAAGUAAUUAUCACGAGUAAUAGUGUGAUUUGUGUUGUUUCAACUACUUUUAUACCCUUAGAGAAAUAAUAAGAUUGAAAAGUCAAUUAUACAUCGUUAAUUUAUCCUUUUAUAUGUUACUUCAAAAAUUGAACCACCAUAAGUCAAUACUUGUCCGAUUCAAUCAAGCUAUUUGCUCUAAUUUAUUUCUAUCAAACAUUUUACGUCCACAUUAUUUUCCACUCUUAUUCAUUACCAUAAAUACCUUAUCAUCUUUUCUGUAUAAAAUAGAGACGUUUGUGUGUUUGGUACGCAAAAUAUUUUCGAGAAUUAUAUUUUUCAAUUUUCGCAUGUCUGGUUACUUAAAUUAUUUUCUCUAUGAAAAUAAAUUCCUCACAAAUAAGAAAAAUAAUUUCCCUAUUAAAGUAAAAAAAAAAAAAACAAAUAAGUUUAUAAGUGACAAUUCAAGUUUAUUGUCUUCUCCAUACCAGUGUUGAACCCUCACUGUCCACCCCAUCCUGGUUACAAAUUCAUUGAGAUAAUAUAUAUAUUUUUUACUUUAUAUUUUGAUAUUCCUUAAUAAAAAUUCUGGUUCCGCCAUAAUUCAUAUGGUGGAUGGAGAAAGAAAAAAGUAGUCUCUUAUACACCAAUUCCUCCUUUGUUAUCUAUAAAUAUAUCCAUAAUCAUUUUAAAGAUUAUACUAUGACCAAAAAAAUGGAAAAUAAAGUUGUUGAAGAGAAAAAAGUAGGCAUGAUCCCUCUUAUGACCCCUUAUAAGAUGGGAAACUUUGAGUUAUGUCAUAGAGUUGUAUUGGCACCAUUAUCAAGGCAAAGAUCUUAUGGCAACACUCCUCAACCACAUGCUAUACUUUACUACUCACAAAGAACUACAAAAGGUGGUCUUCUAAUAGGAGAGGCCACAGUAAUUUCUGAGACUGGUAGAGGGUGCAAUGAUACACCUGGUAUAUGGACAAAGAAGCAAGUAGAGGCUUGGAAACCAAUUGUAAAUGCAAUUCAUGCUAAAGGAGGAAUCUUCUUUUCCCAAAUUUGGCAUGCUGGUAGAGUUUCCAACAAAGGUAAAUGAUCACAUAAUCACUUAACAUAAUCUUUAAAUUUUGAUUUUGGCCUCAUUUUAUUUUUUAUUUGCAUCAAAAUAUCGUUUUAAAAAUAUCGAAUCGAAGUAGAAAAAACAUAACAUAAUUGAACCGAAUUAGUUCAGUUCGAUAUUCGAUGCACACUUUUUCAAAAUCAAAAACCAAAUUGACAUUUGAUAAAAUUGAACCGUAGAACCGAACACACACCCCUGUAUUUCCUAAAACCUCACUAAAUUAAUGUAGGUGAAACCAUGAAAUAUUAUUAUUUUAUAGAGAUAUUAUUUAAUCAAUUAAUAUUUAUUAAUUUAAAGAGUGUUUCGACACCGCAAAAUUCGUUUGGGGAUGAAAUCUCAGAGAAUUUGAAUGAAUCCACUUGUGAAAACGUCAUUCAUGAACUUGAGAUCAUGAUUAUUGAUCUCGGUUACCGCAAUAAAAUGGACGUUAAUAACUUGUUGGAUGAGUGAAAAUGAUACAUGUUCAUAGGUUCAGAGCUUAGAAGAAAUUAUGGAUACCAUUGAAAAAAAUAAUGUUGAUGAUAAAGUAGAAGAGGAUACAAUACCUUUGGAACAAGUUACGGUGAGGAAACACUUACUACAUUUAGAAUCCUUCACAAUUUUAUGGUACAGUUCAAAAAGACAACACAGAAACUUUUGGAUGCAAUAAGAAAAGUUAGAGAUGAGCUUUAAUAAGAUUUAAAUUUUAACAAACAAAUAGAACACAAUAGAAUUAUGUUUCACUAAAUUGUCUUAGAUAUAUUUGUACUUUUAACAAAUUAUUAAUUUAUAAUACUAAUGGGACCAUAUAUUUAUAUAGGGGUCUUCAGAAAAUAUAUUAUCUUAUCUAAAUGAGUGAUUUUUUCCAUUGGCCCAAGUCGGGACCGGAGAAAAACAUUAUCUUAAAGAGGUUAAAUUAAUUGAGUAUUAAUUUAGUGAGGUUUUAUUGUACUUGUAAUAACGCUCGAAAGAGAGUGAUCGAUCUCACACCCAAAGCCAUGAUUUCUCUGUUGUCUUUCUCCUAACACUUUUCUACAGAUUUUCAGCCCAAUGGACAGGAUCCUAUCUCCUGCACAGACAAACUAUUAGCACCUCAAAUUCUUUCCAAUGGCAUAGAUGUUGCACACUUUACACCACCACGACGGUUAACAACAGAUGAAAUUCCUCAAAUUGUGAACGAAUUUCGACUUGCUGCUAGAAAUGCAAUUGAAAGCUGGAUUUGAUGGGGUUGAGAUCCACGGUGCUCAUGGCUAUCUCAUCGAUCAGUUUAUGAAAGAUCAAGUUAAUGAUCGAAGUGAUAAAUAUGGAGGGUCUUUAGAGAAUCGUUGUAGAUUUGCACUAGAAGUAGUUGAAGCAGUUGCAAAUGAGAUAGGAUCUGACCGAGUUGGUAUAAGGAUUUCCCCAUUUGCAAAUUAUAAUGAAUCAGGAGACACCAACCCCAGUGCUUUGGGACUUUACAUGGUGGAAUCGUUGAACAAGUAUGAUAUCGCGUAUUGCCACAUAAUUGAGCCUAGGAUGAAAACAGCUUGCGAAAAAAUUGAAUGUGAUGAAAGCCUUGUACCUUUGAGGAAGGCAUAUAAAGGUACUUUUAUAGUAGCUGGUGGUUACGAUAGAGAAGAUGGAAACAGAGUUGUGGUUGAAGAUCGAGCUGAUCUUGUUGCGUAUGGACGUUUAUUCAUAUCUAAUCCAGAUUUACCAAAGCGAUUUGAGCUAAAUGCACCUCUCAACAAGUAUAAUAGAGAGACAUUCUAUACAUCAGAUCCUGUUGUUGGCUAUACCGAUUAUCCAAUGCUAGAAACCAUAACAUGAUAAAAAGUGAUCUAUUAAUAAUAAGGAUCACUAAGAUUUUCUGCACUUAAAUUCUGUUUGUAUGUUUUCAUCUUAUUUAAUACUCCAAUAAUACUCAUGUCCCUCAUUUUGGUUUCCA